GUGCUCGCCUAGGCAGCACAUAUACUAAAAUUGGAAUAUACAGAGAAUAUUAGCAUGGCCCCUGCGCAAGGAUGACAUGUAAAUUCAUGAAGUGUUCCAUAUUUUU
ensembl:snRNA U6 U6 spliceosomal RNA